rnacentral:rRNA from 1 species
GUGACGACCAGCUUGCUGGUCUGAUCAGUGGCGAACGGGUGAGUAACACGUGAGCAACCUGCCCUUCACUCUGGGAUAAGCCUUGGAAACGAGGUCUAAUACCGGAUAUGAGACGCACCGGCAUCGGUAGCGUCUGGAAAGAUUUAUCGGUGAGGGAUGGGCUCGCGGCCUAUCAGCUUGUUGGUGGGGUGAUGGCCUACCAAGGCGACGACGGGUAGCCGGCCUGAGAGGGCGACCGGCCACACUGGGACUGAGACACGGCCCAGACUCCUACGGGAGGCAGCAGUGGGGAAUAUUGCACAAUGGGCGCAAGCCUGAUGCAGCGACGCCGCGUGAGGGAUGACGGCCUUCGGGUUGUAAACCUCUUUCAGCAGGGAAGAAGCGAAAGUGACGGUACCUGCAGAAGAAGCGCCGGCUAACUACGUGCCAGCAGCCGCGGUAAUACGUAGGGCGCAAGCGUUGUCCGGAAUUAUUGGGCGUAAAGAGCUCGUAGGCGGUUUGUCGCGUCUGCUGUGAAAUCCUCAGGCUCAACCUGGGGCUUGCAGUGGGUACGGGCAGACUAGAGUGCGGUAGGGGUGACUGGAAUUCCUGGUGUAGCGGUGGAAUGCGCAGAUAUCAGGAGGAACACCGAUGGCGAAGGCAGGUCACUGGGCCGCAACUGACGCUGAGGAGCGAAAGCAUGGGGAGCGAACAGGAUUAGAUA